UCAGUCCGCAUGUUCAUGGUGCAUUCUUUAUGGAAUAUGUUGAGCAAACCUGGAGAAGCUUCAGCUCAAGAUAUUAUUGUUGUCAUUGCUGUGGAUCUUUACCUGAUACACUGACUUGGCUCGGGACCAGCACUCCUGUUGUUGGACAGAAAGACAUCAACUCAGUGACUUGAGAUAUGA